rnacentral:rRNA from 1 species
UGACGAAGGGGCUAGCGUUGUUCGGAUUUACUGGGCGUAAAGCGCUACGUAGGCGGUUUGUUAAGUCAGGGGUGAAAUCCCGGAGCUCAACUCCGGAACUGCCUUUGAUACUGGCAAGCUAGAGUCCGGAAGAGGUAAGUGGAACUCCUAGUGUAGAGGUGGAAUUCGUAGAUAUUAGGAAGAACACCAGUGGCGAAGGCGACUCACUGGUCCGGUACUGACGCUGAGGUGCGAAAGCGUGGGGAGCAAACAGG